UGUUUGUCAUCAGUAUAAACUCUUGUGGUAUUUUACCUGCUUGGAGAUUGGAGGGGACUAACAUCUUAAUUUGCUGUAGCUGUCUCCAAAAAAACUGCUCAGCUGUUCUGUGAUGGGAGGGCUGAGAUUCAGACUGCCGCUGCAGAGGCUAAACACUGAUGGUACUGCAACCCUCAUGGCUGUCAUGGCAAAGUACCUUUUGCCUUUAUUUUUCUUCUGUUCUUCUGCUAAAAGAUUAAUUCUUUUCUCUCGGUUCAUUACCAAGUAUUUGUAGAGGAGUUGGUGGCCCAGCGUGUGGCACGGGGGUUGGAGAUUCAUGAUCCUAGAGGUCCCUUCCAACCCUGGCCAUUCUGUGAUUCUGAGCUCGUAGCCAGGACUGCUCCAGCUAUCACUGUUAUUUGUUUUCUCUCUUCAUUUCUCUACUGGCAUUAAGACAGAGUUGGCACUGAAGCUAUGAGAAAUAUUGACAGUAAAAUGAGGUUUAAUUUAACAGAUCCAUAUAUUUGUAGAAACUUCCAUGAGGAUUUGGAAACAAUAACUGAGCAUAUCUGCAUGGAUGAAAAAGAGCCAGUUUACACACCUGCAGCUACUUGCUUUAUUGCCUGCUUUCCAUGGUUGUGGAUUGAAGCCCUUUUCUGAGCAGCAUCCUGCCAGGAAGGCCAUACCAACUUCCAUUUCUGUGUCCAGGUUGGGGGUAAAAUGGACAGAAGUCUUGAAUGAGACAAAAGUGGACUUUGGUAAAGGGAGCAGCUGCAUUUCCUUCUUCACUGAAGCAACGUCUCCAGAAGUGUUGCUGCACUGAGUAUCAAUGCAUUGCAAGGUUGUUCUUAGCCUGGGCAUGCCUGUUAUGUCCCAUGGUGGUAGAGACUUCAGAAUAUGCGUAGAGCAAAUUUUCGUGUCUGCAUCCUAGGCUUUUCUGAUUCUUACUGAAUUUAUUUAAAAUUCCUGUAUGAAAAGGUUGGUUAUACGGGUAUUUUUAAAUUAGUCUGGCCUGUAUUCUGAGACAACAAACUUCAGUUGUAAACCAAACACAUUGGGAAGCAUCAAGACUAAACAAAGGAGCUUACCAUUUAUUUUUAUUUCUUAAAAGAAAAAAAAAAAAAUCCUCAAAGCAUUUUAAUUUGUUAAUUAUGUAUAUUAACACACAAUAACCUAAAAAGAUUGCUGAAUCCAAAGACGCUGCUCCAGUGCCCUGUGGUUUGAGGAGUUAUUUUGAGGAAUAAACACAAUGUAAGCUUUUCCUAUUCCUAUAGC
rnacentral:lncRNA from 1 species